rnacentral:rRNA from 1 species
UACGGGGGGGGUAAGCGUUGUUCGGAAUUACUGGGCGUAAAGGGCUCGUAGGCGGCCAACUAAGUCAGACGUGAAAUCCCUCAGCUUAACUGGGGAACUGCGUCUGAUACUGGAUGGCUUGGAUUUGGGAGAGGGAUGCGGAAUUCCAGGUGUAGCGGUGAAAUGCGUAGAUAUCUGGAGGAACACCGGUGGCGAAGGCGGCAGCCUGGACCAAUAUUGACGCUGAGGAGCGAAAGCUAGGGGAGCAAACGGG